AGUGAACGCUGGCGGUAGGCCUAACACAUGCAAGUCGAACGGCAGCACAGGAGAGCUUGCUCUCUGGGUGGCGAGUGGCGGACGGGUGAGGAAUACAUCGGAAUCUACUCUGUCGUGGGGGAUAACGUAGGGAAACUUACGCUAAUACCGCAUACGACCUACGGGUGAAAGCAGGGGACCUUCGGGCCUUGCGCGAUUGAAUGAGCCGAUGUCGGAUUAGCUAGUUGGCGGGGUAAAGGCCCACCAAGGCGACGAUCCGUAGCUGGUCUGUGAGGAUGAUCAGCCACACUGGAACUGAGACACGGUCCAGACUCCUACGGGAGGCAGCAGUGGGGAAUAUUGUACAAUGGGCGCAAGCCUGAUCCAGCCAUACCGAGUGGGUGAAGAAGGCCUUCGGGUUGUAAAGCCCUUUUGUUGGGAAAGAAAUCCAGCUGGCUAAUACCCGGUUGGGAUGACGGUACCCAAAGAAUAAGCACCGGCUAACUUCGUGCCAGCCGCCGCGGUAA
rnacentral:rRNA from 1 species